rnacentral:lncRNA from 1 species
UUUUUUUUUUUUUUUUUUGAGACGGAGUCUCGCUCUGUCACCCAGGCUGGAGUGCAGUGGCGCGAUCUCAGCUCACUGCAAGCUCUACCUUCCAGGUUCAUGCCAUUCUCCUGCCUCAACCUCCCGAGUAGCUGGGACUACAGGUGCCUGCCAUCAUGCCAGGCUAAUUUUUUGUGUUUUUAGUAGAGACGGGGUUUCACCGUGUUAAUCAGGAUGGUCUCGAUAUCCUAACCUCGUGAUCCGCCCGCCUUGGCCUCCCAAAGUGCUGGGAUUACAGGCAUGAGCCACCGCGCCCGGCCCUCUCAGUUUCAUUUUUAGGGCUCAUUUCCUUCGUUUGCAUAACGAACGCUCAGGGAGGCUGCCAGGUUCCCCUAAGCCCCCUCCUCUUCCUUACCCACUCAGGAAGUAGAUUUGCUGAGCUGGAGGUUUCUGAAGCUGCUGAAUCAGAAAGAAAAAGAGAGCCACGAACCCAAGGGGUAUGUUAAGGAGGGCCGGGGUGCCAGUGACAUUGGCUGCUCUGAUCGCCCUCUCUCUGGGAUGCCCCUGGGAGGCGAUUCUCACACUCAUCACAGGCCACAAGGCCCUUCUCUCUAACACACCCAUGCAGCACUGGUAGCGGGGAGGAGCCCAGGGUCCAGGUCUUCGGAUGAUCUCCUGACCAUGGGUCCAGUGUAUAGAGAUGAGUCCAGUGAGGCUAGAGCCAGGGGACAGCAUUCCCUCUUUCCCACAGGGCUUGGGGAUAGCUCUGGCCUGGGAAGGGCUUGGGGGAGCCUGUGGGUAGACUCACUGGAUUCUGCCACGUGUCCGUUUGGCCUCCCAGGGUUUGGGCUGGGCUUUUCCAGUUUCAGCACUUGGCAUUUUUAGCACUUGGCUUUCUGCCUUUCCCUCUGGGAGCUUUCCCAGCUUGCCCAAGUAGGGCCUGCUUCCCUGAGAGCUCAGCUCAGGGGUCCUUGGGAGGAAUCACUAGAGUUGGGGGUGGCCUUCUUGGGCCUUCUACUCUCAAAUGGAAAAAUUAUAUUUCCUUUGGCCAGUCCCAAAAACUCAUUUCCCGAUAGUCCCCAGUCUGCAUUCCCCCCUCCCAUCCUUGUCUCUCAUUCUUCAGCCUCACCUCCUUCCCAGGCUCCUUCAGCCGCCCUUUUCCCAGUGCCCUCAGCCCA